AGCGAACGCUGGCGGCAUGCCUAACACAUGCAAGUCGCACGGGGGGGCUUCGGCCUCCCAGUGGCGGACGGGUGAGGAACGCGUAGGGACCUGUCGAGGGGUGGGGGAUAACCGCGGGAAACUGCGGCUAAUACCGCAUGACGCCGCGGCGUGACAGCCGGGGCCAAAGGCGAAAGCCGCCCGCCGAGGGGGCUGCGUCCGAUUAGCUGGUUGGCGGGGUAGCGGCCCACCAAGGCGUCGAUCGGUAGCUGGUCUGAGAGGGUGAUCAGCCACACCGGGACUGAGACACGGCCCGGACUCCUACGGGAGGCAGCAGUGGGGAAUAUUGGACGAUGGGCGCAAGCCUGAUCCAGCAAUGCCGCGUGGGUGAAGAAGGUCUUCGGAUUGUAAAGCCCUUUCGGCGGGGACGUUGGUGACGGUACCCGCAGAAGAAGCCCCGGCUAACUUCGUG
rnacentral:rRNA from 1 species